AANCACUUGUCUUUUAAAUGGAGACCUGUAUGAAUGGCACAACGAGGGCUUAACUGUCUCCUUUUUCUAGUCAAUGAAAUUGAUCUCCCCGUGCAGAAGCGGGGAUACNUACAUAAGACGAGAAGACCCUAUGGAGCUUUAGACACCAAAGCAGACCAUGUUAAGCACCCCUAAACAAAGGACCAAACAAUAUUGAACACUGCCCUAAUGUCUUCGGUUGGGGCGACCACGGAGAAAUAAAAAACCCCCGCGUGGAAUAGGGAUACUAUCCCCACAAUCACGAGCCUCCGCUCUAUUAAACAGAACCUCUGACCAAUCAGAUCCGGCAAUGCCGACCAACGGACCAAGUUACCCUAGGGAUAACAGCGCAAUCCCCUUUUAGAGCCCA
rnacentral:rRNA from 1 species